ACUCCUACGGGAGGCAGCAGUGGGGAAUUUUGCGCAAUGGGGGAAACCCUGACGCAGCAACGCCGCGUGAGUGAUGAAGGCUCUUGGGUCGUAAAGCUCUGACAGAGGGAAAGAAAUGUGGGUGGCUAAUAUCCAUACCACUUGACGGUACCCUCAAAGGAAGCACCGGCUAACUCCGUGCCAGCAGCCGCGGUAAUACGGGGGGUGCAAGCGUUGUUCGGAUUUAUUGGGCGUAAAGCGCGUGUAGGCGGUUUUAUAAGUCUGAUGUGAAAGCCCCGGGCUCAACCUGGGAAGUGCAUUGGAUACUGUAAGACUUGAAUACGGGAGAGGGCAGUGGAAUUCCUAGUGUAGGAGUGAAAUCCGUAGAUAUUAGGAGGAACACCGGUGGCGAAGGCGGCUGCCUGGACCGAUAUUGACGCUGAGACGCGAAAGCGUGGGUAGCAAACAGGAUUAGAUACCCUGGUAGUCCACGCCGUAAACGAUGAGAACUAGGUGUCGCGGGUA
rnacentral:rRNA from 1 species